rnacentral:rRNA from 1 species
UACGUAGGGGGCAAGCGUUAUCCGAAUUUACUGGGUGUAAAGGGGGCGCAGACGGCGAUGCAAGCCAGGAGUGAAAGCCCGGGGCCCAACCCCGGGACUGCUCUUGGAACUGCGUGGCUGGAGUGCAGGAGGGGCAGGCGGAAUUCCUGGUGUAGCGGUGAAAUGCGUAGAUAUCAGGAGGAACACCGGUGGCGAAGGCGGCCUGCUGGACUGCAACUGACGUUGAGGCCCGAAAGCGUGGGGAGCAAACAGG